GUUUGAUCCUGGCUCAGGAUGAACGCUGGCGGCGUGCCUAAUACAUGCAAGUCGAACGCUUCACUUCGGUGAAGAGUGGCGAACGGGUGAGUAAUACAUAAGUAACCUGGCAUCUACAGGGGGAUAACUGAUGGAAACGUCAGCUAAGACCGCAUAGGUGUAGAGAUCGCAUGAACUCUAUAUGAAAAGUGCUACGGGACUGGUAGAUGAUGGACUUAUGGCGCAUUAGCUUGUUGGUAGGGUAACGGCCUACCAAGGCGACGAUGCGUAGCCGACCUGAGAGGGUGACCGGCCACACUGGGACUGAGACACGGCCCAGACUCCUACGGGAGGCAGCAGUAGGGAAUUUUCGGCAAUGGGGGAAACCCUGACCGAGCAACGCCGCGUGAAGGAAGAAGUAAUUCGUUAUGUAAACUUCUGUCAUAGAGGAAGAACGGUGGAUAUAGGGAAUGAUAUCCAAGUGACGGUACUCUAUAAGAAAGCCACGGCUAACUACGUGCCAGCAGCCGCGGUAAUACGUAGGUGGCGAGCGUUAUCCGGAAUUAUUGGGCGUAAAGAGGGAGCAGGCGGCACUAAGGGUCUGUGGUGAAAGAUCGAAGCUUAACUUCGGUAAGCCAUGGAAACCGUAGAGCUAGAGUGUGUGAGAGGAUCGUGGAAUUCCAUGUGUAGCGGUGAAAUGCGUAGAUAUAUGGAGGAACACCAGUGGCGAAGGCGACGAUCUGGCGCAUAACUGACGCUCAGUCCCGAAAGCGUGGGGAGCAAAUAGGAUUAGAUACCCUAGUAGUCCACGCCGUAAACGAUGAGUACUAAGUGUUGGGGGUCAAACCUCAGUGCUGCAGUUAACGCAAUAAGUACUCCGCCUGAGUAGUACGUUCGCAAGAAUGAAACUCAAAGGAAUUGACGGGGG
rnacentral:rRNA from 1 species